AGUGAACGCUGGCGGCGUGCUUAACACAUGCAAGUCGAACGAGAACGGAUUAUAGCUUGCUAUAAUUGUCAGCUAAGUGGCGCACGGGUGAGUAAUGUAUAGGUAAUAUGCCUCUUACUAAGGGAUAACAAAUGGAAACGUUUGCUAAUACCUUAUACUCCUUAUUAACAGAAGUUAAUAAGGGAAAGAUUUAUUGGUAAGAGAUUAGCCUGUAUUGUAUCAGUUAGUUGGUGGGGUAAUGGCUUACCAAGACUAUGACACAUAACUGGUUUGAGAGGAUGACCAGUCACACUGGAACUGAGACACGGUCCAGACUCCUACGGGAGGCAGCAGUGGGGAAUAUUGCACAAUGGACGAAAGUCUGAUGCAGCAACGCCGCGUGGAGGAUGACACAUUUCGGUGCGUAAACUCCUCUUAUAUGAGAAGAUAAUGACGGUAUUAUAUGAAUAAGCACCGACUAACUCCGUGCCAGCCGCCGCCGUAA
rnacentral:rRNA from 1 species